CUCGUACCAGAUGGUGGCGGUAAUGCACCAAAAAGUUGUUUGCCAACCGCCAAUAAACCUUAAUAGAAGAAGAAGACGUCAAGAAGAUCGAGGCAGACUGACUGCACGCUGUUAAAACUUCACCAAGAUCGGUGUUGGACCGGCGAACACUUAGGCCUAUGUUAUCAGAGGACUUGCUAACAUGAAGAAAACGGUCCAGAGGUUCCACCUGAGAGCCGGGACUGUCACAUAGU